UGAGACAAAAUUACAUGGGGCACCAUCUUGGAGUGAAGAUCCUUCCAUUCCUGCUCCAGGGCCUGUUAAUACAAUUAUUAUCCUUACAGCGAAAUGAAGACAGAUAUGGGACCAGGAAGAAAGCUGAACCACCCUCAGCUAAUUCUUCUGUUGGAGUACUGUAAAGAUGCAGAAAGUUUUCCUCCACUGAGAAAAUGUUUUCAGGAUCCUGCCAUUAUUAUCUACAAUGAGUCAUAGAAAAAAAGCUUGUCUUACCCAUGCUUCAUAACAACUUUAAUGCUGAAGAAGGGACUUGUUGAAAAUACCUAAUUAAAGGGAGCAGAAAAGGGCAAUGAAUGAAUUAUCCCUGUAGUUUUAUGAAGUCAAAAAAUAAUCAGUUCCAAAUUGGGAGGUUCUCUUUUGUAUAAUUUGAUAAUUGUAGUGGCAACUUACAUGAGCUUGCCCCUGGCAUCAACUUUGUCUGCUGUUUUAUUACUUAUACUUUAUCAUUGUCUUUUUCUUUCUAUACUAAACAGUCAGGGACAUAUCUUAUUUUGGAAGAUGUUCAGCAUAAGCUGAUAAGAGGAAAGCACAGAAGUUUUCAGAAAUAAUGAAUAGAGAAUAUAGAGUAUUUAUGCACUGUAGCAUCUUUAUGGUGUCUGAAUGAUGGUUUCAAGCUCUUCACUUUUAUUGUUGUUGUUGUUGUUAUGGUUUUACUAAACUACUCAGCCCAAAUGACAAAAAAUAACUCCAGAAAAGCUGUUCUGUUCUGUUUACGUGUGUAUAAAUACACAUGUAAAAAAUUAA